UACGGAGGAUUCAAGCGUUAUCCGGAUUUAUUGGGUUUAAAGGGUGCGUAGGCGGUCGGAUAAGUUAGAGGUGAAAUCCCGGGGCUCAACUUCGGAAUUGCCUCUGAUACUGUUCGGCUAGAGAGUAGUUGCGGUAGGCGGAAUGUAUGGUGUAGCGGUGAAAUGCUUGGAGAUCAUACAGAACACCGAUUGCGAAGGCAGCUUACCAAGCUACUUCUGACGUUGAGGCACGAAAGCGUGGGGAGCAAACAGG
rnacentral:rRNA from 1 species